CCUUCGGGCCUCUCGCGUCAGGAUAUGCCUAGGUGGGAUUAGCUAGUUGGUGAGGUAAGGGCUCACCAAGGCGACGAUCCCUAGCUGGUCUGAGAGGAUGAUCAGCCACACUGGAACUGAGACACGGUCCAGACUCCUACGGGAGGCAGCAGUGGGGAAUAUUGCACAAUGGGCGCAAGCCUGAUGCAGCCAUGCCGCGUGUGUGAAGAAGGCCUUCGGGUUGUAAAGCACUUUCAGUCGUGAGGAAGGUAGUGUAGUUAAUAGCUGCAUUAUUUGACGUUAGCGACAGAAGAAGCACCGGCUAACUCCGUGCCAGCAGCCGCGGUAAUACGGAGGGUGCGAGCGUUAAUCGGAAUUACUGGGCGUAAAGCGCAUGCAGGUGGUUUGUUAAGUCAGAUGUGAAAGCCCGGGGCUCAACCUCGGAAUUGCAUUUGAAACUGGCAGACUAGAGUACUGUAGAGGGGGGUAGAAUUUCAGGUGUAGCGGUGAAAUGCGUAGAGAUCUGAAGGAAUACCGGUGGCGAAGGCGGCCCCCUGGACAGAUACUGACACUCAGAUGCGAAAGCGUGGGGAGCAAACAGGAUUAGAUACCCUGGUAGUCCACGCCGUAAACGAUGUCUACUUGGAGGUUGUGGCCUUGAGCCGUGGCUUUCGGAGCUAACGCGUUAAGUAGACCGCCUGGGGAGUACGGUCGCAAGAUUAAAACUCAAAUGAAUUGACGGGGGCCCGCACAAGCGGUGGAGCAUGUGGUUUAAUUCGAUGCAACGCGAAGAACCUUACCUACUCUUGACAUCCAGAGAACUUUCCAGAGAUGGAUUGGUGCCUUCGGGAACUCUGAGACAGGUGCUGCAUGGCUGUCGUCAGCUCGUGUUGUGAAAUGUUGGGUUAAGUCCCGCAACGAGCGCAACCCUUAUCCUUGUUUGCCAGCGAGUAAUGUCGGGAACUCCAGGGAGACUGCCGGUGAUAAACCGGAGGAAGGUGGGGACGACGUCAAGUCAUCAUGGCCCUUACGAGUAGGGCUACACACGUGCUACAAUGGCGCAUACAGAGGGCGGCCAACUUGCGAAAGUGAGCGAAUCCCAAAAAGUGCGUCGUAGUCCGGAUUGGAGUCUGCAACUCGACUCCAUGAAGUCGGAAUCGCUAGUAAUCGUGGAUCAGAAUGCCACGGUGAAUACGUUCCCGGGCCUUGUACACACCGCCCGUCACACCAUGGGAGUGGGCUGCAAAAGAAGUAGGUAGUUUAACCUUCGGGGGGA
rnacentral:rRNA from 1 species